rnacentral:rRNA from 1 species
GAUUCUGGCUCAGGACGAACGCUGGCGGCAUGCCUAACACAUGCAAGUCGAACGGAGCUUUCGAGAGCUUGCUUUGAAAGCUUAGUGGCGGACGGGUGAGUAACGCGUGAGCAACCUGCCUUUCAGUGGGGAAUAAUAUUCUGAAAAGAGUACUAAUACCGCAUAACGUACAGAAACCGCAUGAUUUUUGUACCAAAGAUUUAUCGCUGAGAGAUGGGCUCGCGUCCGAUUAGCCAGUUGGUGGGGUAACGGCCUACCCAAAGCGACGAUCGGUAGCCGGACUGAGAGGUUGAACGGCCACAUUGGGACUGAGACACGGCCCAGACUCCUACGGGAGGCAGCAGUGGGGGAUAUUGCGCAAUGGGGGAAACCCUGAACCGCAGCAAUGCCGCGUGGAGGAUCGAAGGUCUUCGGAUUGUAAACUCCUUUUGUCAGGGACGAAAAAUGACGGUACCUGACGAAUAAGCUCCGGCUAACUACGUGCCAGCCGCAGC